GUGCCAGCAGCCGCGGUAAUACAGAGGUCCCAAGCGUUGUUCGGAUUCACUGGGCGUAAAGGGUGCGUAGGCGGUCGGGUAAGUCUGAUGUGAAAUCUCCGGGCCCAACCCGGAAACUGCAUCGGAUACUAUUCGGCUUGAGGAUUGCAAGGGAGACUGGAAUUCUCGGUGUAGCAGUGAAAUGCGUAGAUAUCGAGAGGAACACCAGUGGCGAAGGCGAGUCUCUGGACAAUUCCUGACGCUGAGGCACGAAAGCCAGGGGAGCAAACGGGAUUAGAUACCCCCGUAGUCC
rnacentral:rRNA from 1 species